rnacentral:rRNA from 1 species
UACAGAGGUCUCAAGCGUUGUUCGGAUUCAUUGGGCGUAAAGGGUGCGUAGGUGGCGUCGUAAGUCGGGUGUGAAAUUUCGGAGCUUAACUCCGAAACUGCAUUCGAUACUGCGGUGCUUGAGGACUGGAGAGGAGACUGGAAUUCAUGGUGUAGCAGUGAAAUGCGUAGAGAUCAUGAGGAAGACCAGUGGCGAAGGCGGGUCUCUGGACAGUUCCUGACACUGAGGCACGAAGGCCAGGGGAGCAAACGGG